AUUCCAGAGGUGCUUAGAGAACCAAGAAGCAGGUAAGAAUACCCAACUGCCAAAGAUAUGCAGGUAACUGGCUGAUGGGGUGCUUUGUGUCCUUUCUGUAUUGAACAGCUCACAUCUUUGGAUGCUUUUGUCAUGGGUGCAGUAGCCAAAGCCGUUGCCACCACCCUCACUUAUCCUUUGCAGAUGGUGCAGUCCAUCCUGCGGCAUUCACGAAAGGCAGCACUUCGUAACAGCUUCACAUCAGCAAAUCACCACUGCUCCUCAAGGACUCGGAAAGGACAGACUCUCCAAAACAAGGGCAUGGACAAGAUUUCCUGUACAAAAGGACAACUCCGUGCCUCUCAAUGUCCCACCACUGAGCUGAGACAAGGGAGCAUGUAAUGGGGCCCCACCACAACUGUAAUAUACCCAGACAGACUGAGAUCACCUAUCAACCCCACACUAAGAUCUGCAAGGCCACACCAAGGAUUUUAAAGCGACAGUUCUCAGCAAGGAAGCCACAGGGAAAGCCUGCCAAAGUGCUCAGCAUUUGUUUAAUUCCACAUAAAUCUCAUUGGAAGGAAAAUAAAAAUAAAAAUAAAACAAACAAAAAUAAAUCAAGUGCUCCAUAUCUGGAUGUGAGCGCACAGAAGAGAUUAGCUGCUGCUAAGAAUAAAAGCAGCACCCACAGGGAGGGCAGCCGGGUAAGGGGUGCUGACGACUGCAGCUCUCCGGCCUAAGAGGAUCACUGGGAGAGCUCAGACAAACGUGGUUCCCUCCUGCAAAUCAGGAUGCCUUUAUGCUACUUCAGAUUACCACCUGAAUCUCAUCACUUCUGGGAGAUUUCCUGAAGACCUUAAUGCUGUUUUCGCAGCCAAACCCCAAGGGAAAAGCCUGGACACACACACAUUACUUCCUGCAGGAAGUAAAAAAGAAUGCAGCCAAAUGGGACAAGCUAUGCUGCAAAUGAAAAGCACGAAGUAAUGUGGCAUCCUGCAAGAAAGCAUCCCUAUCCAACCCACUCCAGAAAGAUACACGCUGCAUUUUUCAGUGAUUGUAGAAGUGAAGGCUCUCACUGCUGCCAGGGCCCCAAAUACUGCUCUCCUCCUCCUGCUGCAAUACCUGGGUGUACAGCUGGGGGGCUGAGCAGCCCGGUGCAGGCAAUAUGGACGUGCACAGCUUUAUUUGAUUAGCAAUUUGACCUGACACCCUCCAUACCAUAGAAGCUCACUUUGAUAUGGUCUUUGCAGCCUGCCCUGUUGGAGUGUGCCCUAAAGGUGAGAGGCAUCUGCUAGGACACAGCAGCUGCAAGCAACAGGGGGUUUGGUAGGCAAAGGGCGGCCUGCCCAGAAUCUGCUACGGCCUUUGGAGAUGCACAAUUCAGCCUUUGGGGGGUUAAAGAAUUCUAAGAGAAUGACUGUUUUAGAUAUACUGUCUCCCCCUCUAACUCUGCUUUAAAUCAUAUUGAUUAAAAAAAAAAAAAAAAAAGAGUAUACAUUAUACCUCAGCAGCUCUCAAUCUGUACCCUCAGAAUCAACAUUCAGUACAAAAAACAAAAACAAACUUGUAAGAACUAGCAGGUCAUUGGUCCUUCUGGAUUGCAACCACUGCAUUAAAUACAGUUCUGCUAUUAUUUAUACAGGCAAACAAUCAAUGCAGCAAUGAGGCAGGUUCAAAGAUGUAAAUAGAAGCAAAAAGCACCCCUAACAUCAAGGUGUCCGAGUAGCUGCUCUCUUAGCAAACUAAGCUGCCACAGAUGUCUCUUCACUUUGGUCAAGGCGUGGGGUGAGCUACAGAAGGGACGAGACAGGGAUUCCAUUUAGAUCCCCUACACUGAGCCAAAGAAAGAACGGUUACCCAUGAGGGAACUUGGCUCAGAUUUUGCUGCUGUCCUUCAAAGCAACCCUUCCCUUCAUAACAGUAUUUUUAAAAAGACCGGUAAUAGUAUUUUUAAAUAACAAUAUUUUUAAAAAGACCGGUUUUCAUUUUGAGAUGAAAACACUUUAUGUUCUCUAGAAGUGAAAGGAUGCAGUUUCUGGCUGGAACACGCAGCUAGCUCCCGGGCACACAGGAGAAAUGCAGUGCAGUGGUAGCAGCAAUCUCAGUCUUGAGGCUUUCAGCACAAACACCUGCAAUGUCAACACAGAUCGAAAAGCCUGCGAGACACUGAGUUAGAGCUUGCAGUAGCCACAGAUUUCAGCUGAAGUGGUAUCAGAAGCAUUUGGCAUUUACGUAAAGCCAGCAGCCUUCCAGCUCACUUGCAAUUAUUCUGAGCAAGAACGUCACAGAUCCUUCCAGACCCAAAGUGGUUUACCAAGAGCCAUUCUGACAACAGAGAAUUUCUUAUUAAAAAUAGCAAGACACAUCAAAUUGUCUUUCUGUGUGAUCCCUCAUUUCAGUCAACAGAACAUUUUCACUGCAAUUCUCAGAAGCGUGACUGCUUCUUUACCACCAGUGAGGUCUACCAUCAUCUCAGGAAAAUUCCUGCCAUUUAGCAGAGUAUAACUCCAGCUCAUUGUGCUUACUCAUUCCUCUUGAUGUCACAUGCAAAUGCCAUUUGGGCUGAAAAGAACCAAACAGAGCAUGAAGCAGAGUUUUACACUGAUACUCCCAAUACAUUUUGAACCUAAAGCCCAAUUUAUUCCUGUGCAAAAGAAGGCAAUACUUCUGCAGAAAGACAUUCUCAUUUCAUAUGCAGAACUGAUUCAAAUUGGAGGGGAGAGGGGAGGGAGAAAGGGGAAGACGCCAUUUCACAGUUCAACAAACCUUGUUAGCAGUUACUUCUCCCAGACUUCACUGGCGUUAAGCUAUUGUAGACUUUCUCAAUACUUCAACUAUAAGACUGUAGAAUCCUGCUGCAGACUUCAUGACAGACAGCAGUACUUACAUGUAUUUUAUGGCCGAGGAUGACUAAACAAAACACUGCAUAAAGAACAUGCUCACAUUAGCUGGGAUAACAGUUAUGACCCUUUGGCCUUCUGGUCAAGAAAGUGUUUUUCCACAGAUCUUCCCAGACAACUAUACCCCAUUUUUGGGAAGGCAUGCCACUGAUGAAGCACAGGCUAUUGCUCCCCGUCUGCAUGAGAACACGAAUGCACAUUCUCCACAAGGAACCUGAAAAUACAGAAUUGUAUCUGUUUCUGUGUAGGGAGUCACUUUCUUGAGGCACUCACCUCGUAAAAGCAGGAGGAUACUCUCCCCUUUUCUACCCAGUGUCUGCACUGAAUAUUUGCCUGUGGGUUGUGGAAGGCACUGUGCCUACUCACUGCUAACAUUCACAGUAGCAGCUGAGAAACAUCAACACCAGGUUUCUGGGAGAACACCUCGUCAUUCUGUGCUGCAAACAUGCAUGUGAUGUUAAAAGAAAACCGUGUCAAAAUCUUGAUCUUUCUGAAUUGUUUUAAUGAUCCACAUUAUUGAGUGACAUAAACACAGUGUGAGGAGAAUAACAUGAAACCGGCCGUUGACAGAAGGUAAAGACAGGGAGAGUAGUUAAGGGUAA